UACGUAGGGGGCUAGCGUUGUCCGGAUUUAUUGGGCGUAAAGAGCGUGUAGGCGGCUAUGCAGGUCCGCUGUGAAAACUCGAGGCUCAACCUCGAGACGUCGGUGGAAACCGCAUGGCUAGAGUCCGGAAGAGGAGAGUGGAAUUCCCGGUGUAGCGGUGAAAUGCGUAGAUAUCAGGAGGAACACCGGUGGUGUAGACGGCUAUCUGGACCGUAACUGACGCUGAGGCACGAAAGCGUGGGUAGCAAACAGG
rnacentral:rRNA from 1 species